rnacentral:snRNA from 1 species
AGAUGUGAGGGCAGUCCAGCUGCAGCAUCUGUCACCCCAUUGCUCGCCAGGGCUGAUUCAUUCGGCUUAUCUGGCUGGCUAGGUGAGCGUCUGUCUGCUUCCUCUCUCAUUGCUCUGUGUGUGUCUGUUCCUCCCGUGUUGCAUGCUCCAAGCUCCCAAUAGAGGAGCUUGGAGCAUGCAACCGUUUCCUCGGUCAGGGGUGUACGAGUAGCUGAGCUCCCUGCUAGACCCUCCAAACAAGCUCUCAAAAACUACAGUGUUAUAUGUGUACUGUACAAAAAAAGACACUGAGGCUUUAUAAAUAGGUUGUACAGAACUGUACAAAAAUAU